rnacentral:rRNA from 1 species
CGGCGUGCUUAACACAUGCAAGUCGAACGGGAUCUGCGUGGCCUUUGUGGUUGUGUGGUGAGAGUGGCGAACGGGUGAGUAACACGUGAGUAACCUGCCUUUUUCUUUGGGAUAACGCUCAGAAAUGGGUGCUAAUACUGGAUGUUCUGCGCUUUCCGCAUGGGGGGUGUGGGAAAGGGGCCUUUGUGGUUUCUGGAGGGAGAUGGGCUCGCGGCUUAUCAGCUUGUUGGUGGGGUGAUGGCUUACCAAGGCUUUGACGGGUAGCCGGCCUGAGAGGGUGGGCGGUCACAUUGGGACUGAGAUACGGCCCAGACUCCUACGGGAGGCAGCAGUGGGGAAUUUUGCACAAUGGGGGGAACCUUGAUGCAGCGACGCCGCGUGAGGGAUGGAGGCCUUCGGGUUGUGAACCUCUUUCGCUCGUGUGCAAGCCGCUAUUUGGGUAGUGGUGAGUGUAGCGGGUAAAGAAGCGCCGGCUAACUACGUGCCAGCAGC